AGCAGCCGCGGUAAUUCCAGCUCCAAUAGCGUAUAUUAAAGUUGUUGCAGUUAAAAAGCUCGUAGUUGAAUUUCGGGGUCAGUAGAUUGGUCGUGCCACAGGUAUGUACUGGUCUUACUGGCUCCUCCUUCCUGAUGAACCGUAAUGCCAUUAAUUUGGUGUUGCGGGGAAACAGGACUGUUACUUUGAAAAAAUUAGAGUGUUUAAAGCAGGCAAUCGCUUGAAUACAUUAGCAUGGAAUAAUGAAAUAGGACGUUCGAUCCUAUUUUGUUGGUUUCUAGGAUUGACGUAAUGAUUAAUAGGGAUAGUUGGGGGCAUUAGUAUUCAAUUGUCAGAGGUGAAAUUCUUGGAUUUAUUGAAGACUAACUACUGCGAAAGCAUUUGCCAAGGAUGUUUUCAUUAAUCAAGAACGAAAGUUAGGGGAUCGAAGACGAUCAGAUACCGUCGUAGUCUUAACCAUAAACUAUGCCGACUAGGGAUCGGAUGAUGUUAAUUUUUUAAUGACUCAUUCGGCGCCUUA
rnacentral:rRNA from 1 species